GCGGCUGCUAUACAUGCAGUCGAGCGAACAGACAGAGGAGCUUGCUCCUUUGACGUUAGCGGCGGACGGGUGAGUAACACGUGGGUAACCUACCUAUAAGACUGGGAUAACUUCGGGAAACCGGAGCUAAUACCGGAUAAUAUUUCGAACCGCAUGGUUCGAUAGUGAAAGAUGGCUUUGCUAUCACUUAUAGAUGGACCUGCGCCGUAUUAGCUAGUUGGUAAGGUAACGGCUUACCAAGGCAACGAUACGUAGCCGACCUGAGAGGGUGAUCGGCCACACUGGAACUGAGACACGGUCCAGACUCCUACGGGAGGCAGCAGUAGGGAAUCUUCCGCAAUGGGCGAAAGCCUGACGGAGCAACGCCGCGUGAGUGAUGAAGGUCUUCGGAUCGUAAAACUCUGUUAUUAGGGAAGAACAAACGUGUAAGUAACUGUGCACGUCUUGACGGUACCUAAUCAGAAAGCCACGGCUAACUACGUGCCAGCAGCCGCGGCAAUACGGGAGGUGGCAAGCGUUAUCCGGAAGUAUUGGGCGUAAAGCGCGCGUAGGGCGGUUUCCGAAGGACUGCCUGUGGAAAGCGCACGGCU
rnacentral:rRNA from 1 species